rnacentral:rRNA from 1 species
CAAACGACUCUCGGCAACGGAUAUCUCGGCUCACGCAUCGAUGAAGAACGUAGCAAAAUGCGAUACUUGGUGUGAAUUGCAGAAUCCCGUGAACCAUCGAGUUUUUGAACGCAAGUUGCGCCCAAAGCCAUUCGGCCGAGGGCACGUCUGCCUGGGCGUCACG